GAUGAACGCUAGCGGCAGGCCUAAUACAUGCAAGUCGAACGAUACCAGAGAGCUUGCUUUCUUGAAGGUGGCGCACGGGUGCGUAACGCGUAUGCACCCUACCUUAUUCUGGGGGAUAGCCUCUCGAAAUAGAGAUUAACACCCCAUAAAAUCACACUUCGGCAUCGCAGAAUCAUCAAAUUUCUAUAGUAUUAAGAUGGGCAUGCGUGACAUUUGCGAGUUGGUGAGGUAACGGCUCACCAAGGCUACGAUGUCUAGGGGAUCUGAGAGGAUGACCCCCCACACUGGUACUGAGACACGGAACAGACUACUACGGGAGGCAGCAGUAAGGAAUAUUGGUCAAUGGAGGCAACUCUGAACCAGCCAUGCCGAGUGCAGGAAGACGGCCCUAUGGGUUGUAAACUGCUUUUAUACGGGAAUAAACCUCUCUACGUGUAGAGAGUUGAAUGUACUGUAAGAAUAAGGAUCGGCUAACUCCGUGCCAGCAGCCGCAGUAAUAC
rnacentral:rRNA from 1 species